AUCGCCGCGCCGGCCAGCUGCCGCCGCGCCCGCCGCCGCCCUCCUGCGCAGGCGCCGCCGCGGGGCGGGCGCGCGCAUGCGCGGUGCUGCGGCCGGUCGGGGCCGGGCCGGGCCGGUCUGGGCCGCGCUGGGCCGGGCUGGUCGCCGCAGCGGGGCUCGGAGCGCGGCGCGGGGGCAGCGCCUGGGCGGGCGGCGGCACCAGGGAGCGGGAAAGCGGCCAAAACGCCGGCAGCAACGCGUCACCGCUGACGUCAGCGGCGUGGAGCGGCCGGCGGGCCGUGACGCUGCGCUGAAGCUGGGAAACUGCCCCGUUUCCCCCCAAGACGGGCUGGGAGUGGAGAGGCGGCCACUGCAGCAGGCCGAGCGCCGUUCGUGCCUCUUCACCAUCGCUUCCUCGGCGCAGAUGUGCCAGAGCGGGGCCCCGAUGUGGUCUCGCGUCGUAACAAUAAAAGAUAAACAGAAACAUACGUGCAGUUGGCUGCAGGGUGGUGUGUUUUGCUCCUUCGUCCUGUUUCCUUGCAGCAAUGUUCCACUGGAUGGUCUCCACCCUCCAGCGUGCUGCCCCUGCAAGGGCACUAACGAGGGAGUGCUCCCCGGUACUCCCGCUUUAAACAGCUGCAUGGCACUUCGUGUGAACAUGGCAUUUCUGCCACAUUCGGGCAGAGUUCUGAAUCUAUCAACUAACUCGCCUCGCUUUUCCCAGAAAUACCCCCCUUCCACAUGUUCUUUGAUUUUAAAUGGUAAGUACAGUUCUUAAACUAACUCUGGGUAUUUCGGAACACGCGAGAUGUAAAACGUGGAUAUUUUCCAUCUGGAAAAACGUUGAGAGGGGAAGUUCAGCCUUCAUUUUUCAUUAGAUUUCAAUGUGUUAUGGCAUAUCCUAUUUUCUUGUUAAUUAGACCCUGUUCAUUUUCUUCAGUUCAUUACUUGUUACCGCACCUAGAAUUUAUAUUCAUUUGGUUUAAUCAUGUUCGCCUGGUUAAAUUCUAAACAGUUACUCAUUCAGAAAGGAAAUUAUUACCCCGCUCUGCCAGGACUUCCACUUUGCCUUAAUUUCCCUGGAGCCUCAUUUACUUUCUUCUGCAUUUCUCCGCACUGGGUCCCCUUGGGUUUAGCUGGGAGCGCGUGCAACAUUUUUACCGUCAUUGACUUUCUUCACGUACACUGGCCAUCUGCAAAUGAAUGCCGUGGUCUUGCCUGGUACGCCGUCCGCGGGCUGCUGAACUCAUACGGCAGCUCACAGAGCGUGGCGAAGUGCUCGGGCUCUGCUGAUGGCCGUCUCCUUGCACAGAGAAGAGCCCAAGAAAUCAGCAGCAGUCUCCCAGAUGACCUGUGCUCACCAGAUUCGGGGACUUCACAAAUACCAGUUGUGAUGUUUGUGCUAAACUGUUGGAGACAGCAUGAGCAGACAGUUCUCCUCAGUUCACUGCUCUUCUAGGAAGCCGAGAGCGAAGGCGCUGCUUUUAAGAACAGCCAUAAGUUUUUUGUCUUAAAUGACAGCGUUGUGGCAGGAAUGGAGCUUGGUGUGAGCAAAGGCGGGGAGGAUGGAGGAGUUGCAGGCACCCUCGUUCUCUGCAUUUUCAGUCUAUUGCACACUUCUUCCCUCUAAAACUCCGGCCCUCCCUUGGAUCUGAGGCCUCCCCUCUUCUCCCCACUGAACAGUUUCUUACUCGUUAAGUAAUAACUCUGAUCAACGUGGAUUCUGUGCUCCAGGUCACUCCCCGACAGCAAACGCCAUCCUCAGUUUCCCCCAAAAUAACUCCCGAAAACGAAGGCCUGUGAUAGAGUUACACCGUCAGCUGCGCACUCUGAGCCGACUGUCGGCCCGCGAUCGACCACAAGAGGUUUAGACGAAAGCCCUUACUGGAGGGGUUAGCAAACACGAAAUGGGAGGGCUAUAGGUUGGCCAAAGGGCAGGGGAAAAGGGAUAUUGCAGAACAAGAGCAUCUGGUAACGGAGUAGAAUGAAUGAAUCUAAUCGUAUCGCUAAGGAAAACGUGAACCGGGCUAGAGCGAGCCUGCCGCAGUAUCUAUCGCACGGCGCGUGAGCCCCGCGGCCAUUUGGGGAUCUUGUACUGCUGCCACGCGGCCUCUGUCCUCGGCGCUGAUUGCGGCUGUCGGCUGUGCCUCCCCCGUCGCCUGAUUGCACUCCCGCUCCGCAGGUUGUUCAGAUGCCGUGAGGACUUCUCGGCGCGGAUGGCAGUCUCUUUCAGCGCUAUGGUAAUGGGGCUGCUCAGCUGAAAGCGGAUGCUUGAAAAUUCUCUGCACUCUUCCAUCCUACCGGCAAACAGGUACCUGUAAUUACCCCAAAUGACAGAGUUCAGCCAGACAAAGCCACAGCAAAUGACGGCUCUUUCAUGGGAGAGCCGGAAGGAACGGGUCACACCGGCUAAUACAGUAACAGCACACCUUAGCCCUAUACGCAAUUUUCAUUACGGCUAUUGAACAUCGGUGGGUUGAUUGACAUCUGUACAAAGGAGGAGAGAAGCAGGCAAAAAUAACAGCUACAGUUUCUACUGAAUAAACUGAACUUAAAUGCCUUUUUUGAUUCAGUUCCUUGGCUUCUUAUUCAGACUCGGAGUGAGUUGGGGGUAAGUCACCCCCUAUAAAUCUGGCACGGGGGGAAAGGGAAGGUUGGUGAGGACUGCGAAAGCCACGGAAGACCGAGCGAGGAGUUCCUCCCCUUAGUGCCAUCUCUUCGUUAGCUUCCUAUUACAGGAAUAAGUUUUGCAAGUCAAAAUCGCUUUGUGCUCAGUGAUUUGGUGCUCUUGACAGUCUUCUAGGAAAUACAUUAACAAAUAAUUUGGUCCUUUUGUUAUUCCAAGAUGGAAUCACCCGGGCUCCUUCACCCUGCUCCUCCUGCCUGCUGUAAAUAUAGCGAGCUCAUUAACUUCCCCUGACCGUGAUGUCCCGCGUAGCUGCAGGCCCGGGAAACGGCAGCGUCCUUUGCCCGCCGCGGUGGCUCGGGGUGGCGGAGCAGGUCCCAGAGCCCCUGGUCCUCGCGAGAAGCCGCGCUGCUCUCUGCCCGCUUCCAGCAGCUGGGAUGGAAGGGGCCGUUCGUCCGUCUGGCCAACACACCAGUCUGCCCCUCGGUCCUGCGGUGUCUGAGGUCUCACGUUUUAGCGCAUUUGUCCUCAGAGCAGCACGGCGAAGGCUGCACGGGCAAAAGCUGAACUGGCAGUCGUGUGAGCCAUACCCCUCCGUGCACGAUCCCCGGCUUGUGUCCUGCCCUACCGCUGCCCGCUGGUGCCACCGCGAUUUUCGUCGGCGCGUGCGCGAGGCAGGCAGAAUACCUCCCGGCCCCGUAGCGGGCAGAGACGUUCGAUUACUCCUGGCGGGAUGCAACAGAAGGGUGGCUGUAGCUACAAACAUCGCCAUGAAGGGAAUCAUUGUGCUUUUUAAACAGACCAUAAAAAUCUCCAGCAAUUCUGAUGUGCGAACAGUUAAGCAGCGAUCAAAGACGCCAGCGAUACAAGACCUGGGCAUGUUAUUUGCGAAGAACAUGUCAGCAGCUGCUGAAUUCCUGCGCUUACUUGGCUUCUGUGACACCUGCCAAGGUCUGUAUGGAAACAUCUAUCUGGUGUUAACCAGCGAGUGUCCGAGGCUCCGGGUCCGAGGGACUUUUCGGUGACCUUUUUGUAUGGACACACUCUGUCAUUCCUCCCUCAGAUAAAUUCGGUGGGUUUUUCCCUAGAUUCAUUCCAAGAAAGUGCAAGCAGAAUCCCCGGAGAGGUCGGUAAAAGCCCUCCGUUUCUUACCCGAGCUUGUUGUGCGCUGUGGAGCUUCCGUGGUGUUUGGUUGCCAUCACUCAUUUCAGCCUUUCGGCUGCUUCAUGGGCUCUAACUCUUUUACUUUAUGUCAGUUCUGUCAGGAAUAAAAAUUCCCGGGAAGGGACUCUAUUUGUGCA